UUUAAGGGCAUCAUCAGUUUGUAUAUUUUUCACACAAUUUACUGCAUGUUUCAGUUUAAAAUCUCAGAUGUUCAGUAAAGAAACGGAAACACGAUUAAUUGGGCCAUCGAUGGAGACAAUAAAAGCCAGUUCCGGAAGCGAAUGCGCCAUGCUUUGCACAAAUGACAACAACUGCUGCUCCAGUACUUAUGACACAAACCUAGAACAAUGCUCAUUAUUUCUUGCAUGCUACCCUAACAAGGAAUAUUCAAAAGAAUCACAAACAAUAACGAAGGUUUCAGUUGACCCAUGUCAUGGAGUUUCCCGGUGUAAUCGUGGAAAAUGUAUUGUGCAGGGAUCCUCAUAUAUCUGCCAAUGUCUGAUUUGCGUGUUUAAAAAUGGGAAUACAUCCUGCAACCACUAUAAGUGUGAAUAGGAUAUUGGCACACCAGACAUUUUAGGAGAUCAAAGGACACAUUUGUUUUGGAUUAUUGUUACAUUUCUGUUUUGGACAUUUUGAUUAAUCCAGGCGUCCUUUACGAAGCACUGCAAAUACGCAACAUGAUUUACGAGGAUGGGACAUACAUUUCUAAAUUGGUCCAUGCCAGAUAAAACAGAC